UCCUCCUCAUGUCUGUGUAAACCAAAUCCAGAGAGAAAUCAAGAUUCAAAACUAAGGGAGUAUGUCAUGCCUUUGGAAUACUUAGAUCAAGUGGUAGGCAUUUUGGCAUCCAACAGUGAGUUCACUUCAGAAGCAAUA